rnacentral:rRNA from 1 species
GUGGGGAAUAUUGCACAAUGGGCGCAAGCCUGAUGCAGCGACGCCGCGUGAGGGAUGACGGCCUUCGGGUUGUAAACCUCUUUCAGCAGGGAAGAAGCGGAAGUGACGGUACCUGCAGAAGAAGCGCCGGCUAACUACGUGCCAGCAGCCGCGGUAAUACGUAGGGCGCAAGCGUUGUCCGGAAUUAUUGGGCGUAAAGAGCUCGUAGGCGGCUUGUCGCGUCUGCUGUGAAAGCCCGGGGCUUAACUCCGGGUGUGCAGUGGGUACGGGCAGGCUAGAGUGCAGUAGGGGUAACUGGAAUUCCUGGUGUAGCGGUGAAAUGCGCAGAUAUCAGGAGGAACACCGAUGGCGAAGGCAGGUUACUGGGCUGUUACUGACGCUGAGGAGCGAAAGCAUGGGGAGCGAACAGG